UCGUGGCAAGGUAGACUAGCAAACAUGCCCAACCUUUACUCACAUUCGAGAAAACACUCCCAACAAGAUUGCUUGCUCCAAAAUCGAAGAGGCACCGCCCUCCGAAUCUCGAGAGCCAGACUCCCAACAUGAUUACUUUCUCAAAAAUCGAAGAGAGGGUAAAGGAACAGUACCACUGCUGGAUAAUUGGAAAGUCCCUGUGUGUCAACCUCUGUGCUUCGUGGCAAGGUAGACUAGCAAACAUGCCCAACCUUUACUCACAUUCGAGAAAGCACUCCCAACAAGAUUGCUUGCUCCAAAAUCGAAGAGGCACCGCCCUCCGAAUCUCGAGAGCCAGACUCCCAACAUGAUUACUUUCUCAAAAAUCGUAGAGAGGGUAAAGGAACAGUACCACUGCUGGAUAAUUAGAAAGUCCCUGUGUAUCAACCUCUGUGCUUCGUGGCAAGGUAGACUAGCAAACAUGCCCAACCUUUACUCACAUUCGAGAAAACACUCCCAACAAGAUUGCUUGCUCCAAAAUCGAAGAGGCACCGCCCUCCGAAUCUCGAGAGCCGGACUCCCAACAUGAUUACUUUCUCAAAAAUCGAAGAAACACCGCUCUCCGAAUCUCGAGAGCCAGACCCCCAGCAGGAUUGCUUUCUCAAAAAUUGAAGAGGCAUCGUUCUCCGAAUCUCGAGAGCCAGAUCCCCGACAGGAUUGCUUGUUCGAAAACCGAAGA
rnacentral:lncRNA from 1 species